CAAAGUCAGUAAAAGGAGGGACAUAAUAAAGAUUAGAGCAUAAAUAAGUAAAAUUGAGAAGAAUAAAACAAUCGAAAGAAUCAAUGAAAGCAAGAGCUGGUUCUCUGAGAAAAUAAACAAAAUAGAUAAACCCCUAGCCAGACUUAUCAAGAAAAAAAGAGAGUCUACACACAUAAACAGAAUCAAAAAUGAGAAAGGAAAAAUCACUACGGACACAACAGAAAUACAAAGAAUUACCAGAGAAUACUAUGAAAAAUUAUAUACCAACAAACAAACUGGAUAACCUAGAAGAAAUGGACAACUUUCUAGAAAAAUACAACCUUCCAAGGCUGAGCCAGGAAGAAACAGAAAAUCUGAACAGACCAACUAUGGGCAAUGAAAUUGAAUUGGUAAUCAAAAAACUACCUAAGAACAAAACCCCUCGAUCAGAUGGCUUCACUGCUGAAUUUUAUCAAGCAUUUAGUGAAGACCUAAUACCCAUUCUCCUUAAAGUUUUCCAAAGAGUAAAAGAAGAGGGAAAACUUCCGAACUCAUCUAUGAGACCAGCAUCACUCUAAUACCAAAAUGAGGCAAAGACACCACAAAAAAAGAAAAUCACAGACCAAUAUCCCUCAUGAACAUUGAUGCAAAAAUAUCAACAAAAUAUUAGGAGAUCAAAUUUAAAAAUGUAUUAAAAAGAUCAUCCAUCAUGAUCAAGUAGGAUUUAUUCCAGGAAUACAAGGACGGUAUAAUAUUAGAAAAUCUAUGAACACCCACCACAUCAACAAAAAGGACAAAAACCACAUGAUCAUCUCCAUAGAUGCUGAAAAGGCAUUCGACAUAAUUCAACAUCCAUUCAUGAUAAAAACUCUCAACAAAAUGGCUAGAGAGGGCAAGUACCUCAACAUAAUAGAGGCCAUAUAUGACAAACCCACAGCCAACAUAAUACUUAACAAUGAGAAGCUGAAAGCUUUUCCUUUAAGAUCGGGAACAAGACAAGGAUGCCCACUCUCCUCACUUCUAUUCAACAUAGUUCUGGAGGUCCUAGCCAUGGCAAUCAGACAACACAAAGAAAUAAAAGGUAUCCAGAUUGGUAAGGAAGAAGUCAAACUGUCCCUGUUUGCAGAUGACAUGAUACUGUACAUAAAAAAACCCUAAAGAAUCCACUCUAAAACUACUAGAUCUAAUAUCUGCAUUCAGCAAAGUUGCGGGGUACAAAAUUAAUACACAGAAAUCUGUUGCAUUCCAAUACACUAACGAUGAACUAACAGAGAAAUCAGGAAACAAUUCCAUUCACAAUUGCAUCAAAAAGAAUAAAAUACCUAGGAAUAAACCUAACCAAGGAAGUGAAAGAUCUAUAUCCUGAAAACUACAAGACACUCUUAAGAGAAAUUAAAGAAGACAGCAACAAAUGGAAACAUAUCCCGUGUUCAUGUAUAGGAAGAAUUAAUAUUGUCAAAGUGGCCAUCCUGCAUAAAGCAAUCUACAGAUUCAAUGCAAUCACUAUCAAAAUACCAACAGCAUUCUUCAAUGAACUAGAGCAAAUCGUUCUAAAAUUCAUAUGGAACCACAAAAGACCCUGAAUAGCCAAAGCAAUCCUGAGAAGGAAGAAUAAAGCAGGGGGGAUUAUGCUCCCCGACUUGAAGCUCUACUACAAAGUCACAGUAAUCAAGACAAUUUGGUACUGGCAUAAGAACAGACCCAUAGACCAAUGGAACAGACUAGAGAGCCCCGAUAGAAACCCAACUAUAUAUGGUCAAUUAAUAUACAAUAAAGGAGUCACAGACAUACAAUGGGGAAAUGACAGCCUCUUCAACAACUGGUGUUGGCAAAACCAGACAACUACAUGUAAGAAAAUGAAACUGGAUUAUUGUUUAACUGCAUACACAAAAGUAAACUCAAAAUGGAUCAAAGACCUGAAUGUAAGUUAUGAAACCAUAAAACUCUCAGAAGACAACAUAGGCAAAAAUCUCCUGAAUAUAAGCAUGAGCAACUUCUUCCUGAACCCAUCUCCUCGAACAAGGAAACAAAAGCAAAAAUGAACACAUAGGACUACAUUAAACUAAAAAGUUUCUGUACAGCAAAGGACACCAUGAAUAGAACAAAAAGGCAUCCUACAGUAUGGGAGAAUAUAUUUGUAAAUGACAUAUCCAACAAAGGGUUAACAUCCAAAAUAUAUAAAGAACUCACACACCUCAACACCCAAAAAGCAAAUAACCCGAUUAAAAAAUGGGCAGACGAUAUAAAGAGACAGUUCUCCAAGGAAGAAUUUCAGAUGGUCAACAGGCACAUGAAAAGAUACUCCACAUCACUAAUCAUCAGGGAAAUGCAAAUUAAAACCACAAUGAGAUAUCACCUCACACCAGUAAGGAUGGCCAGCAUCGAAAAGACUAAGAAAAACAAAUGCUGGCGAGGAUGCGGAGAAAGGGGAACCCUCCUACACUGCUGGUGGGAAUGUAAACUAGUUCAACCAUUGUGGAAAGCAAUAAGGAGGUUCCUCAAAAAACUAAAAACAGAAAUACGAUUUAUCCUGGGAAUCCCACUCCUUGGAAUUUCCCCAAACAAUACAACUUUUCAGACUCAAAAAGACAGAUGCACCCCUAUGUUUAUAUAGCACUUUUUACAAUAGCCAAGAUAUGGAAGCAACCUAAGUGUCCAUCAGUAGAUGAAUGGAUAAAGAUGUGGUACAUACACACAAUGGAAUACUAUUCAGCCCUAAGAAAGAAAUACAUCCUACCAUUUGCAACAACAUGGAUGGAGCUGGAGGAUAUUAUGCUCAGUAAAAUGAGCCAGGUGGACAAAGACAAGUGCCAAAUGUUUUCCCUCAUUUAUGGAGUAUACAAAUGAGGCAUAACUGAAGGACCAAAAUAGCAGCAGACUCAGAGACUCCAAGAAGGGACUAGUGGUUACCAAAGAGGAGGGGUGUGGGAGGGUGGGUGGGGAGGGAGGGAGACGGGGACUGAGGUGUAUGAUGUUUAGUACACAUGGUGUGGGGGAUCACGGGGAGAACAGUGUAGCACAGAGAAGGGACAUAGUGGAUCUGUAGCAUCUUGCUGCACUGAUGGACAGUGACUGCACUGGGGUAUGGGUGGAGACUUGAUAAUAUGGGUAAAUGUAUAACCACAUUGUUUUAUCAUGUGAAACCUUCGUAAGAGUGUAUAUCAAUAAUAGUAAAAAAAAAUACAAAGCAAGUUAAUAACAUUCCUGUCCUCAGGAAGACUGCGAAUAUCUACUUUUAUAACUUAAAC